GCUAUUUGCAUGCCUAGGUGAUCACCUGGAAAAUACCAGAGGAGGCUGGUGGGGGAGGGGGAAGCUUCAGAGACAUACCCACGGCUGCGGCAGCACCCUCUAGAGGCGGCAGAAUGAUCCCAAGCCCAGCAGUGACGCCAAAGGAGCCACUGGACAAUGAAAGGCCAGGCCAGCAAGAACAAGGUGGUGCCAGGAGACAGCCGUAUGGGCCAACGUCGUGGUUCCUGUGAAGCAAGAAAUGGAAGGUUCUCUCAGGAAGAUUAUACUACAGAGAAAUACUGUGCAGCAGUAAGGAAUAAAUCUAGCUUACAAUAUCUGUAUGUGGAAUACACAGCAAGACAGUCUUCACUGAACAACUGUCUAAUGAAGUUAAAUACAACCCAAGAAAAGAACUAAACCUAUAUUGAAUUUUAAAAAGACUGUUUCCUGGCACUGAGAAGUGUGACUCUUCUGUUCUUAUUACGCCCAAUAAACCACCAUCGUGCCAAAACUAUAUUACUAGAUCCAAAUGGAAUGGGUGGUGUUCAGGUUGAUCUAAUCCUCUCUCGGUUACUCUCGCCAUAAGAGAUAAAAAGGAAUCAUGAAGUAGGAAUUCCCCUGAUUUGCCAUUUUAAGUUGCGGAGAAAGCAUUUUCAUUAGCAAAAGAUUCCAGAUUUUGUAGAACCAACUCGCCACUAUAGAGAUUGUUAAAAUUUAUGUUAUUAGCAACCAUGAUUUUGGAAAGCUGAAAGAAUUUUUGUUGAAUCUUAAGAUGUUCAUGCUUCCAGUAUGUAUGAAGACGUGCUACUCGAGUAGAGCUAGGGAUUUCUGUUUUUGCAAUGUCUUUGAUUAGCUUUAGGACUUCAUUCCAGUAGCUUCAUCACAUGCAUACUGUAGCAAUUUGUAAUAUGUUCUAAUCUGUAAUAUAGCUAUAUUGCCUUGA